CAGCCCCCCCCCCCCCCCCCCCCCGCAAGGAAAAAAAAACCAGGCGGGUGUGGGGGAUGGAGUGGGGAAGCCAGGCAAAUGAGCAGGCAGCGCUGGCCGCGGGAGGAGCAGGGCGGCGUCGGCAGCCUCGUCGCCUCGAGCGGGCUGCGCUGCGCCCUGCCAACGCGCCGGGGGGAGCGCGGCCGCCGGUCCCCGCCGCUCGUCACAUGGCUCUUUGUUGUUUUCUUUCUCCUGCCCCUCCUGGGCCUUCCCCCCCGCCGCCAUCGCCCAGCCGCUCCGUCGGUGUAGUCGCCGCCCGGCCUCCUCCCGCCCGCGCCUGGGGUGGGAUGGCCCGGCCCGGCCGGCCUGCAGCGCCGAUCUGCGCGGGCCCGCAUGGGCUGGCGCGGAGCCGGCUGCUGUGCUGCAGUGCGAGCCGCCACGGCCGUCUGAGGUGUUACAUGUGCCUCGGGUUUUUUUUCUUUCUUCUUUUUUUUUUUUUUUUAAAUCUUUUUUUAUCUUUUCCUGUUUUGUUUCCGAGCAGACUUUCCUGCAGCUCGCUCUGGGUGGAGGCGUGGGGGUUAUUUUGGAGCUUCACGAGCUUUGUGCUCAGCGGGAAGUUGUACCUUGUGCUCCACUGCAGACCCAAAUUAGGUGAGCUAGGAAAGCCUGGCUUGAGCAACCACUUCAGAGGGCAGGACAGGGAGGAAAAGCAAACACUUGUAGAAAGGUGGCCUCCCUGGUAAGGCUAGAGCAGGACCGUCCUGCGGACGCUGUGGGAGGGAGAAGGUAAGUGCUGCUUGGCAGAAGCUGCCUGCGGGAGCGGCAUGUGCGGGGCAGGGUGCGCCCUGCCCGCCAGUUCUUGCGGCUCAGGACCAGCUGCUCCGUGGGUUUGUAAAACCUGUGCUGUGGUUAUGUGCUGAGGCUCAGGGUGUUUUCCUGCGAGGGAGCAGGGUGCUACCAUGAAACAGGCACCACAGCCCGUGCCUUUCUGAAUAUCGCGAGGGCUUAAUGCUCACCUCUUCAUUUCUUCUCGUUCCUCUCCCCCUCCCCCUCCGGUCUUCACCGGGUCAGGCUCUGUCGAGAACAAGCGACAAACCGUUCGCACAAAACAUAACACGUUUCCAUGGAGGGGGGGAAAAAUGUCUCUGCACUGCCAAGCUGGCUGCAAAGUGCUACCUCUGCGCUCCAUGCCCACUCCCAGGGCUGCAGCAGUCGGAGCCAUGGCAGUCUGAUGCCUGAACAACGCGCCUUGUCCAGCCAGACCGUCUGUGAACGCCUGGCCCUUGCUCCCGCCAGUCCUGCAACAGACCUCCUGCUUUACAAUCGCUUUAAAUAAUAGCCUGCUAGGAAACUUGGAAGAAAUGGUGACGUUACUCUUAGCUAAACGCCAUUAAAAUGCUCCUCUGCUGUUUCUCAAUAGAGGUGAAAAGCAUUUUGGCUUCCUGGAAAUGGCCGACGCAGGCGACGUGUGGAACAAAGACUGUGAUCUUUGUCUGCAAUUAAUCAUUGUUCAGGACGGCCGUUGCCGAUGGUAGAAUCCAUGAAGUGCUCCAGCUGGGAGAGGUCCUAACGCAUGAGCCUGGCGCCGCGGCCGUGCAAACCAGGGCCAGAAAUUGCUGGGGCAGCAGGCGUUGUACAGCGAGCCCGCCAUGCCGACCCAGUGAAUUGUGUGGGUCCUCAGCACUUCUGGGAAUGGUAUUUGUAAGUCUGAGCUGAAAACUUAUUUCCGUUUUUAGAGUUUCUAAAUGACUGUAAUAUUCGAUGUAGUUUAAAAGUCACCAGGCAGUUGAGACCAGUUUCGUGGCCAAACUGCGUAUCUGAAAAGCUAAAUGUUCUGGUACAGCGUGUUUGAAUCCCAGAGAGGUCAAACCAGACUUUCAUACUCGAGUUAGGUUGACCCUGGUUUGCUGCAUGAGACUGUUUAGAGAAAGAAAGAGAUCUUUCAGGAGAAGGAGAAAAAAAGAAAAGAUUUCUUUCCUUUUUUUUUAGUCUGAACAGCUUGUGGUGACUCUGUGCACAUUCUUGAAGCAAAGGGGUUUGUUCUUGCCCACAAUAUCCCUCCUCUGCAUUGUUAAGUGGAAAACUCUUAUGCUAAUUAUUGCACUGUCUGUUAUCCAUAAGAAGGGAUUUAAUUUCUUUGGCAAAGUGUUGCAACAAGAGCAAAUUAGAUUGAGAAGCAAAGUGAAAUAAAAAAAAUGCAGCUGUUCUGCCAAACAAUGGUUGUGACUGUUUACAACGUUUUGUUUUACACUGGCUUGUACACAGAAUCCUUUAUACUGAAGGUUUUCAUGUCACAAUCCACUGCUUGUGCAAGGAAACUAGAUUAAUAGAUUAUGAAGGACAAAAGAGACCUAGGUUCAUCUGGUUCAGUUUCCUGCAUUACGCAGGUUGUAAGAUUUUUGUCAAUUUGCUUUUUCUCAUUUGAAGUAAUUUAAUGGCAGCAUAACUGCAUCUUGGAGAAAUAUCAGAUUUUCUUUAUUAAAUGGGCUGUAAGAGUAAAGUAGGAGUUAGCAAAUUGUUUCCAUCAAAAUCUACCUGAAAGACUAGAAAUCAAAAUGCCUUUCUCGACAUGUCUAGUUUCUGCUUUCAGUUUCUGAUGUUGCCGUGUCUCAGUCUGCUCGGCGGAGGAAUGCUCCAUUACCAGAUUUCAGUCCCCAUGUAGCUGUGAGUGGGGGCUCAUCAACUGAACAUUUAACACUCGCAUUGCAGGCUUGCAGAGCUCCCCCUUGGGUCCAUCUUUACUAAUCUCUCAUUGUUCCUGUUGUGGUUUCCUGUGAAUGUUCUAGUUUUUCACUGUUUUGAUCUGGGCAGAAGGGGACAGAGUCAUCAGCGAUCAUCAUAUCCAUGCCAGCAGCCUUCCUGGCUGAGAUGUCUCUGUUUGGUGUCCAGGGAUUACACCAGCUCAUGUUCAGCUGGUUUCCCAGCACGGCUCCUAAAAUGCUGUCAGAUCUGCUCCUUGGGACAGCAUCUCCAUUCCAUUGGUUUGUGCUCAUUGUUCUACAUGUAAGGCUUUAAGUUUGGCCCUCUUGAAAAGGACAAAUCCUUAGACAGCAUUGAUGCUUGCAAUGGCCUUUUCUUUUUAAUCCCCCCUCCUGCUGCUGUUGAGCAUCACCUACAAACUUCAUCAGUACUGAUUUUAUAUCUUCUUCCAGAUAAACAACUGCUUUUGUCUCCACUCUAGGAGUUUCACGGUUCCAGGUGUGUGUAGACCUUAGUCGUGUCAAUAUUGUGUGAGGAAGAGCUCUGGAUGUACACUUUCCUCUUACCACACCCCACUUUCAUGGGAAGAAAGCCCAGUUUAGGAGCUGGAAGGGAGCCAGGAGGCAUGCUGCAGCAUUUGCCUGCCACAGUGUCUUAUCACAUAGCCAUUAAAUCAUGUCAGGCCCAAAAAAGGUAGUUGCAGGACCCAUAAAGGAAAGGUGAUAGCUCUAGGAUACAGUGGUUACAACUGCAUUUUAAGACCUUGCUGUUAGACAGAUUCUAAUCCAUUUGAUUAUGCCUUCUUCCUCUUAUAUUCUCCUACUCAAGUAUGGUACCUCUUCUCUCUUGCAGAAACCUCCCACUACUGCUGUUAGCAUUUACCACUGAGCCUUGCAGUUGCGUCAGACAGUUUCUCUCUCAGCAGCUAAACUCUUGAAACAUUGUUGUCUCCCAUGGAUUUGUGUCCAUAAAUACCCCUUGACAAUAUUUUCCCAGGCUUGCUUACUCUGUCUGGCUGAGCAAGGGGUAACAUGCUGGCUGGGAGCUUCACAGGGGCCAAGAGGCUGCAAUAGUGCCCCUUGCCAUGGGCCAGGGCCCAGUUCUGCCUACCCUUCCCCAAAACCAAGGUAAUGCCUGUACUACAUACUCUAUUUAGCUGUUCAUUCAAGGCCUAAAUACAUUUGGGACUUCUUCCCCACUGCCAGAUUGGGAGAUUGGAAGAAGAGGAGGAAAAAUGACAUUAACACCAGUCACAUGAGACUGUUUUAAGAAACCAAGCUAAGAAUAGCAAAGGAAUAAUGAGUAGGAAUAUGAACAGGGUAUGUGCCUGAUCAUUUUCUUUUUUGCCAUGAAAUUUUUCAUUUCUUCCUAAGAACAGCAGAUAAUCUGUCUAGGAGAUUUCUCAGCCAAAAUAAGCAACCUCCUGACAGAUUUCACCUGUAUCCCAGCAUGCUCUGAGGACGUAUGGGAUGUAAGCACUGAACAAUGGCAGGGAAUCACUAGUCUGCUCUCUUGUUUGGCUGCCUGGGUGCAGAGAGCUGUAUGGUGAUACCCAACAGAGGCACAAACAUGUAUCUACAAUCCAUACAACUUGUGAUGGACAUGUUGGAUAUUUGCCAGGGCUGGGUUUUUUGGUUUCUUUUCAAACUGUAUCUCUUCAGUUUCUUUCUGCUACUAUUAUGACAAAGCCACCUCUGUAAGAUCGGCAGUGAGGGCUUUCUGAGAUGUAAUCAUUCCUAAGCUAUAAAAGAAUAAAGAAGCCGUUUCAA